rnacentral:rRNA from 1 species
UACGGAGGGUCCGAGCGUUAUCCGGAUUUAUUGGGCGUAAAGGGUGCGUAGGCGGCCUUGUAAGUCAGGGGUGAAAGACGGUAGCUCAACUAUCGCAGUGCCUUUGAUACUGCAGGGCUUGAAUGUACUUGAGGUAGGCGGAAUGUGACAAGUAGCGGUGAAAUGCAUAGAUAUGUCACAGAACACCAAUUGCGAAGGCAGCUUACUAAAGUAUGAUUGACGCUGAGGCACGAAAGCGUGGGGAUCAAACAGG